GAUGAACGCUGGCGGCGUGCCUAACACAUGCAAGUCGAACGGAGAUUACGGACGGAAGUUUUCGGAUGGAAGACUGUAAUUCUUAGUGGCGGACGGGUGAGUAACGCGUGGGCAACCUGCCCUAUACAGGGGGAUAGCAGCUGGAAACGGCUGGUAAGACCGCAUAAGUCGGCGAGACCGCAUGGUUUUGCCGGGAAAUGAGCAAUCAGGUAUAGGAUGGGCCCGCGUCCGAUUAGCCAGUUGGCAGGGUAAAAGCCUACCAAAGCAACGAUCGGUAGCCGGACUGAGAGGUCGCACGGCCACGUUGGGACUGAGACACGGCCCAAACUCGUACGGGAGGCAGCGGUGGGGGAUAUUACACGAUGGAGGAAACUCUAGUGCAGCGGCGCCGCGUGAGUGAAGAAGUAUUUCGGUAUGUAAAGCUCUAUCAGCAGGGAAGAUGAUGACGGUACCUGACAAAGAAGCCCCGGCUAACUACGUG
rnacentral:rRNA from 1 species